UACGGAGGGUGCAAGCGUUAUCCGGAUUCACUGGGUUUAAAGGGUGCGUAGGUGGGCUGGUAAGUCCGUGGUGAAAUCUCCAAGCUUAACUUGGAAACUGCCGUGGAUACUAUUAGUCUUGAAUCUCGUGGAGGUAAGCGGAAUAUGUCAUGUAGCGGUGAAAUGCUUAGAUAUGACAUAGAACACCGAUAGCGAAGGCAGCUUGCUACACGAGUAUUGACACUGAGGUGCGAAAGCGUGGGGAGCAAACAGG
rnacentral:rRNA from 1 species